AGACGGAGGGUCCUAGCGUUGUUCGGAAUGACUGGGCGUAAAGGGUACGUAGGCGGUUUGGUCAGUUAGAUGUGAAAGCCCAGGGCUCAACCUUGGAACUGCAUUUAAUACUGCCAAACUUGAGAUCGGAAGAGGAAAGUGGAAUUUCUAGUGUAGAGGUGAAAUUCGUAGAUAUUAGAAGGAACAUCAGAGGCGAAGGCGGCUUUCUGGUCCGAUACUGACGCUGAGGUACGAAAGCGUGGGGAGCAAACAGGAUUAGAAACCCUAGUAGUCC
rnacentral:rRNA from 1 species